CCUCAGGUGAUCCACCUGCCUCAGCCUCCCAAAGUGCUGGGAUUACAGGUAUGAGCCACCUGCCGGCCGACGUGGCCUUUCUGUACAGUUGUGCUUAGGACUAGAGUGACUGUGUCCUCCCCAGCCCCCAGGUGUCCUGGUGCACGGGACUGUCACCGCCAGAAAGUGGCUGGCACUGCAGGCAGGCUCUGUGCACAGCUGGGAGUGGGGCUGCCACCUCCUCUUGCCCUUUUACUGUAAAGCCCAGAAAAUAAGCUUACAGGUGGCAGGUCCUUGGUCUAACCUGGCUCUUCAGGGAGACAGAAGCUCCACUUCCUCAUUUCCAAAUGAAGAAAUGUGCUCAGAGAAGCCUUGGGGUCGCCUUCUCUCACAUCCAGAAUUCAUUCAAAACUCCUGCCCUUCUUACCCCCACCACUCCUGGGCACAUCAAAGCCCUGGGAAAUGAAGUCACGGGGUGAGGGUUCAGUGGCCCCUGCAUCCCCGCUGCCCCGCCCCUUCACCUGCUGCCCCGCCCCUGCACCUGUUGCCCCGCCCCUGCACCUGUUGCCCCGCCCCUGCACCACCACCUCCUUUCCUCGCACCGUGUUCGCCUCUGCCUGGGCAGCCUCAGAAGGGAACCCCAGUCUGCGCAGGGAUGGCUCACUGCUUCCUGAAGCCCCUGUUUGCUCUCAGGAAAUCUUGGGGACCCCAAUGUGGCUGAGUUCCUGGUGGAAACCCUGCCCCUCCCCUGAGCAUCCACAGAGAAAUGUGGGUUCCCUGCUCAUCUGCCUGGGACGCAAUUAGAGGCAUAAUUAAAAUGUCACUCAGGUCUCUUUGUCCCUAGACAGGCUCAUGCCCGUGGGGAGUUACGAGCAGGGCUUUCUGGCUGCCCCAAGGGAAGAAGACAGAGGGAGGAGGGCUGCAGCCCAGUGGGAGACGGGUUCCUAGGGGCUACGGUCUUGCUCAGGGAUGACUGCCGAAGGGAGGUACUCUUCAGGCGAAGCCCAGGCAGGUGAGUAGGGACUGUGCCUGCCAGAGUGAGGCUUCCCAAGAGAGAGAAAUGACUACCUACACCGACUAACCAGGGACUCGGAGGGGCCAAGAAAAGCCACCGACCCCAAACCCCAGAAUUUGUUGCUUGGCCAUUGAUGGAAAAAGCUCUGAGCAUUCAAGAAGACCCAGGGACCUGGCUUGAUUUGCAGUUUUAAGGAGCUUCUGGCUGGGGGUUCAGUGGACCCAGGGGACAAGGAUGAGAGGGGCAGCCAGAACCAGCCGAGCCACAGAGCUCAGUCAAGAUUUGCUGGGUGCCAGGCACCGUGGCUCAUGCCCAUAAUCCUAGCACUUUGGGAGGCUGAGGCAGGAGGAUCCCAUGAGGCCAAGAGUUUGAGAUCAACUUGGGUAACAGCGAGACAACAUCUCUAC